rnacentral:rRNA from 1 species
GACGAACCGUGCGAACGUUGUUCGGAAUCACUGGGCUUAAAGGGCGCGUAGGCGGCUUGGCAAGUCCGGGGUGAAAGCCCCCAGCUUAACUGGGGAAGGGCCUCGGAAACUGUUGAGCUCGAGGGAGGUAGGGGCAGGGGGAACUUCUGGUGGAGCGGUGAAAUGCGUUGAUAUCAGAAGGAACGUCGGUGGCGAAAGCGCCCUGCUGGAUCUCUACUGACGCUGAGGCGCGAAAGCCAGGGGAGCGGGACGGG